rnacentral:lncRNA from 1 species
UGGUCGCCAGCCUCUGGCCAGCCCCUGCAGCCCAGCCGUUUUCCGGCAGGAGGGCUGGGCUGAGUACGGCCGAGGACUGGGCAGGCAGGGCAGCCGGUGGUCGCCGUCCCUCCAGGACACGAGUGCCCCUGCACAGGGGCGGAAGGGGAGGCCCGGGAGCCGGGGAGCCGCGGAGGCCAAGGGCCAGGCCGGCCAGGCCCCAGGGCAGGGCGGGGCGAUCCCAGCGUGCGGCCCUGAGGCACUGUCCCCACACCGCUCCACACUGUCCCGAAGCCCCCGAGCGCCAGCCCGGACCCCCGGGACACGCCCCCCACCACACACACACACACACACACACACACACACACACACACACACUCCCCCCCCCGACCCCCGGGACACACACCCCCACCCCACCCCCUGCACCCCCCGCACCCCCGACCGCUGGGACACCCCCCCACACACUCCCCUCCCCUCCAGCAACGCGCGGCGCUCCCAUCCCCCGGCAGCCCACCAGGUGGCGCUCGCUCCCCCACCCCCCCCCCCCCGCGCCGACGCCCGUGACGUCAGCCGCCCGGCUCCAUUUGAGCGCCUCUCGGCAGCCGAGAACUCGGACUUCCCGUGUGGCUCACAACAUAACUACUCGGCGUUGCUUCUACAGUGGCUGUGGCUCGACCCCUGGCCUGGGAACUUCCAUAUGCCGCAGCCCCGCGGCGGCAGAUGGCACUCGUUCUGCCGCUUUUUCCUGGCUGUGUGCGAUGCCAUCGCAUAGAUGUCCCCGGGUCUGCGAAGUGCACUCACCUGUCAGUGGACCUUUAGGUGGCUUCCAGAUCUUGGCUCUGGUGAGUAGUGCGGCGACAGACAGAGGGGUGCCCGGGUCUGCUUCCGGGAAAGUUUGGUCCCGGUGAAAUGGAGCUGUUUGGAGGCCGGCUUCGGUCUUUGUGUGGGCCGGCCCGUGUAGGGCUGCUUGGCUGAGACUCUGUCGAGGAGGGAGGCCUUCAGCCACCGGGGCCUCACGGGGCCUACCCGUGCGGCACCAUCACAGAGCUCUCCGUCACUGCCCCUUGUGGG